GACGAACGCUGGCGGCGUGCUUAACACAUGCAAGUCGAACGGAAAGGCCCUGCUUUUGUUGGGUGCUCGAGUGGCGAACGGGUGAGUAACACGUGAGUAACCUCCCCUUGACUUUGUGAUAACUUCAGGAAACUGCGGCUAAUACCCGAUAUGAUCUCCUGCUGCGUGUUGUGGGUUGGAAAGUGUCGGCGGUUGGGGAUGGACUCGCGGCUUAUCAGCUUGUUGGUGGGGUAGUGGCUUACCAAGGCUUUGACGGGUAGCCGGCCUGAGAGGGUGACCGGCCACAUUGGGACUGAGAGACGGCCCAGAAUCCUACGGGAGGCAGCAGUGGGGAAUAUUGCACAAUGGGCGGAAGCCUGAUGCAGCAACGCCGCGUGCGGGAUGACGGCCUUCGGGUUGUAAACCGAUUUCGAAUGUGACGAAGAGUGAGUGACGGUAAUGGGUAAAGAAGCAACGGCUAACUACGUG
rnacentral:rRNA from 1 species